AUGAACGCUAGCUACAGGCUUAACACAUGCAAGUCGAGGGGCAGCAUUUUAGUUUGCUUGCAAACUGAAGAUGGCGACCGGCGCACGGGUGAGUAACACGUAUCCAACCUGCCGAUAACUCCGGGAUAGCCUUUCGAAAGAAAGAUUAAUACCGGAUAGCAUACGAAUAUCGCAUGAUAUUUUUAUUAAAGAAUUUCGGUUAUCGAUGGGGAUGCGUUCCAUUAGUUUGUUGGCGGGGUAACGGCCCACCAAGACUACGAUGGAUAGGGGUUCUGAGAGGAAGGUCCCCCACAUUGGAACUGAGACACGGUCCAAACUCCUACGGGAGGCAGCAGUGAGGAAUAUUGGUCAAUGGGCGCGAGCCUGAACCAGCCAAGUAGCGUGAAGGAUGAAGGCUCUAUGGGUCGUAAACUUCUUUUAUAUGGGAAUAAAGUUUUCCACGUGUGGAAUUUUGUAUGUACCAUAUGAAUAAGGAUCGGCUAACUCCGUGCCAGCAGCCGCGGUAAUACGGAGGAUCCGAGCGUUAUCCGGAUUUAUUGGGUUUAAAGGGAGCGUAGGUGGAUUGUUAAGUCAGUUGUGAAAGUUUGCGGCUCAACCGUAAAAUUGCAGUUGAAACUGGCAGUCUUGAGUACAGUAGAGGUGGGCGGAAUUCGUGGUGUAGCGGUGAAAUGCUUAGAUAUCACGAAGAACUCCGAUUGCGAAGGCAGCUCACUAGACUGUCACUGACACUGAUGCUCGAAAGUGUGGGUAUCAAACAGGAUUAGAUACCCUGGUAGUCCACACAGUAAACGAUGAAUACUCGCUGUUUGCGAUAUACAGUAAGCGGCCAAGCGAAAGCAUUAAGUAUUCCACCUGGGGAGUACGCCGGCAACGGUGAAACUCAAAGGAAUUGACGGGGGCCCGCACAAGCGGAGGAACAUGUGGUUUAAUUCGAUGAUACGCGAGGAACCUUACCCGGGCUUAAAUUGCAACAGAAUAUAUUGGAAACAGUAUAGCCGUAAGGCUGUUGUGAAGGUGCUGCAUGGUUGUCGUCAGCUCGUGCCGUGAGGUGUCGGCUUAAGUGCCAUAACGAGCGCAACCCUUAUCUUUAGUUACUAACAGGUCAUGCUGAGGACUCUAGAGAGACUGCCGUCGUAAGAUGUGAGGAAGGUGGGGAUGACGUCAAAUCAGCACGGCCCUUACGUCCGGGGCUACACACGUGUUACAAUGGGGGGUACAGAAGGCGGCUACCUGGUGACAGGAUGCUAAUCCCAAAAACCUCUCUCAGUUCGGAUCGAAGUCUGCAACCCGACUUCGUGAAGCUGGAUUCGCUAGUAAUCGCGCAUCAGCCAUGGCGCGGUGAAUACGUUCCCGGGCCUUGUACACACCGCCCGUCACACCAUGAGAGUUGGGAAUACCCGAAGCCUGUGAGCCAACUGUAAAGAGGCAGCAGUCGAAGGUAGAAUCAAUGAUUGGGGUG
rnacentral:rRNA from 1 species